GACGAACGCUGGCGGCGUGCUUAACACAUGCAAGUCGAACGGAAAGGCCCUGCUUUUGUGGGGUGCUCGAGUGGCGAACGGGUGAGUAACACGUGAGUAACCUGCCCUUGACUUUGGGAUAACUUCAGGAAACUGGGGCUAAUACCGGAUAGGAGCUCCUGCUGCAUGGUGGGGGUUGGAAAGUUUCGGCGGUUGGGGAUGGACUCGCGGCUUAUCAGCUUGUUGGUGGGGUAGUGGCUUACCAAGGCGUUGACGGGUAGCCGGCCUGAGAGGGUGACCGGCCACAUUGGGACUGAGAUACGGCCCAGACUCCUACGGGAGGCAGCAGUGGGGAAUAUUGCACAAUGGGCGGAAGCCGGAUGCAGCAACGCCGCGUGCGGGAUGACGGCCUUCGGGUUGGAACCCGCUUUCGCCUGUGACGAAGCGUGAGUGACGGUAAUGGGUAAAGAAGCACCGGCUAACUACGUG
rnacentral:rRNA from 1 species